rnacentral:rRNA from 1 species
AAUAGAUACCCAGGUAGUCCAUGCCGUAAACGUUGGGCACUAGGUGUGGGGCUCAUUCCACGAGUUCCGUGCCGCAGCAAACGCAUUAAGUGCCCCGCCUGGGGAGUACGGCCGCAAGGCUAAAACUCAAAGGAAUUGACGGGGGCCCGCACAAGCGGCGGAGCAUGCGGAUUAAUUCGAUGCAACGCGAAGAACCUUACCAAGGCUUGACAUGCACGAGAAGCCACCAGAGAUGGUGGUCUCUUUGGACACUCGUGCACAGGUGGUGCAUGGUUGUCGUCAGCUCGUGUCGUGAGAUGUUGGGUUAAGUCCCGCAACGAGCGCAACCCUCGUCCCAUGUUGCCAGCGGGUUAUGCCGGGGACUCAUGGGAGACUGCCGGGGUCAACUCGGAGGAAGGUGGGGAUGACGUCAAAUCAUCAUGCCCCUUAUGUCUUGGGCUUCACGCAUGCUACAAUGGCCGGUACAAAGGGCUGCGAUACCGUAAGGUGGAGCGAAUCCCAAAAGCCGGUCUCAGUUCGGAUUGGGGUCG